rnacentral:rRNA from 1 species
AACAGGGAUUGCCCCAGUAACGGCGAGUGAAGCGGCAACAGCUCAAAUUUGAAAUCUGGCCCCCGGGUCCGAGUUGUAAUUUGCAGAGGAUGCUUCGGGCGAGGUGCCUUCCGAGUUCCCUGGAACGGGACGCCACAGAGGGUGAGAGCCCCGUCUGGUCGGACACCGAGCCCGUGUGAAGCUCCUUCGAAGAGUCGAGUAGUUUGGGAAUGCUGCUCAAAAUGGGAGGUAUAUGUCUUCUAAAGCUAAAUAUUGGCCAGAGACCGAUAGCGCACAAGUAGAGUGAUCGAAAGAUGAAAAGCACUUUGAAAAGAGGGUUAAAAAGUACGUGAAAUUGUUGAAAGGGAAGCGCCCAUGACCAGACUUGGGCCCGGUGAAUCACCCGGCGUUCUCGCCGGUGCACUUUGCCGGGCACAGGCCAGCAUCAGUUUGGCGCGGGGGACAAAGGCUUCGGGAACGUGGCUCCCUCGGGAGUGUUAUAGCCCGCUGCGUAAUACCCUGCGCCGGACUGAGGUACGCGCAUCGCAAGGAUGCUGGCGUAAUGGUCAUCAGCGACCCGUCUUGAAACACGGACCAAGGAGUCGUCUUCGUAUGCGAGUGUUCGGGUGUCAAACCCCUACGCGGAAUGAAAGUGAACGCAGGUGAGAGCUUCGGCGCAUCAUCGACCGAUCCUGAUGUUCUCGGAUGGAUUUGAGUAAGAGCAUACGGGGCCGGACCCGAAAGAAGGUGAACUAUGCCUGUAUAGGGUGAAGCCAGAGGAAACUCUGGUGGAAGCUCGCAGCGGUUCUGACGUGCGAAUCGAUCGUCAAAUAUGGGCAUGGGGGCGAAAGACUAAUCGAC